rnacentral:rRNA from 1 species
ACGAACGCUGGCGGCAUGCCUAACACAUGCAAGUCGAACGAUGCCUUCGGGCAUAGUGGCGCACGGGUGCGUAACGCGUGGGAAUCUGCCCUUGGCUUCGGAAUAACAGUUAGAAAUGACUGCUAAUACCGGAUGAUGUCCCCCUGAGAGAUCUUGGGGACCAAAGAUUUAUCGGCCAGGGAUGAGCCCGCGUAGGAUUAGGUAGUUGGUGGGGUAAAGGCCUACCAAGCCGACGAUCCUUAGCUGGUCUGAGAGGAUGAUCAGCCACACUGGGACUGAGACACGGCCCAGACUCCUACGGGAGGCAGCAGUGGGGAAUAUUGGACAAUGGGGGGAACCCUGAUCCAGCAAUGCCGCGUGAGUGAUGAAGGCCUUAGGGUUGUAAAGCUCUUUUACCAGGGAUGAUAAUGACAGUACCUGGAGAAUAAGCGCCGGCUAACUCCGUG